UUAGGCCUAUAGGGAUAUGCCUGAUUGUAAUGAAUAAACUGUAAUAAACAUUUAGACACAACUGCUAAUAAUUUAGCUUUGUUUCUGUUUCCUUCCCCCCCCCCCCCCCACCCCCGCAUUUUACUUCUGUUGACAUAGUUCUAAUUUACACUCAACAAUAUAUAGCAAGGACGCAAAACCCUAACACCAUAUUCUGUUCCCUGGUGAAUAGUUAAAAUGUUAAACUUAAUGUAUUUAUUCAAUGAAUGCAGCGCCUAAAGACAGUGUGGAAAACCUUUUCCCAGAUACCCUCUCCCCACACAAAAGAGAUUGGACCAUAGCGUUCUGAGCAAAGUAUAAGCAUGAAAGCUGCGCUUCACAAAGAGCUGUCUUAUAUACCUUCUUAUCUUAUCUUAUAAAAUACAGACGUUGCUUCAGGAAAGAUGAUUCCGUCAUAGCGUCAUGCAUUUAAUCAUGCAUAUUAACCAAUGACUUAAAUUCUGUCAAGUCAUUGGUUUUCCUGACUGGUUCAGGCAACCCAUUCCAUGCUAUAAAAGCACUCGAGAAGAAGGAGCAUUUGUAAAAAGUUGUCCUAGCAUAUGGAACGAGGAAUGUGCCUUUCUCUCUUUGUGUCUUACUGGUUUUUUGUAUUAGCCUUUGUCUUUGUUUCUUUCUGAGUAUUUUGUUAGAUAUAAAAUCGAUAUGAAGCAUUAAGAACUAAGUGGGAACAUUGGAUGAAGUAAAAGAAGGAGUAGGCCUACUUGAAGACACCGUAGACUACUGGCAAAAUCACAUAAUGCAGGGGCGUAGCUAAGAAUUUUCCAUCGUUUGGGGUCCCGGGGUUUGACCUCUUUGGAGGCCCCUGCUUUUCGCGUAAUAUUUAAUUUUUUAUGUAAAAAGUGCUCAUUUGGGGGCCACCCUCAAGUGGGGGCUGGGGGAUUUUCAAAUUCUUCCCUUUCCUACCCCCACCCUAGCUACGCCACUGACAUAAUGAAUGUGUUAUGAACAUAAAGAUAAGAGAGUCGAAAACCAUGUCUACAUUAUAUGGCUUUAAUACACCAACCUACGGUGAUGGACAAUUGUUGAUAUAGAUACAUCUCUGGGAACAUGACUUAAAAGUGUUUGAAUAUUUAAGCAUUAAGUAAACGAUGUUUGAUACAAUGGUCAUACUAAUUAACGAUAUAGUCCACUCUUUGUUGCAAACCACGUGACAUAUGUCAUCUUUUGUACACAUCGCUUGCCAUG